ACUCAAAGGAAUUGACGGGGGCCCGCACAAGCAGUGGAGUAUGUGGUUUAAUUCGAAGCAACGCGAAGAACCUUACCGGGGCUUGACAUCCUGCGAAUCCUUCAGAGAUGAGGGAGUGCCUUCGGGAGCGCAGAGACAGGUGGUGCAUGGUUGUCGUCAGCUCGUGUCGUGAGAUGUUGGGUUAAGUCCCGCAACGAGCGCAACCCUUGUUGAUAGUUGCUACGCAAGAGCACUCUAUCGAGACUGCCGCUGACAAAGCGGAGGAAGGUGGGGACGACGUCAAAUCAUCAUGCCCCUUAUGUCCCGGGCUACACACGUACUACAAUGGCCGUUAACAAAGGGCAGCGAAGCCGCGAGGCGGAGCAAAUCCCCAAAAACGGUCUCAGUUCGGAUUGUAGGCUGCAACUCGCCUACAUGAAGUCGGAAUUGCUAGUAAUCGCGAAUCAGCAUGUCGCGGUGAAUACGUUCCCGGGCCUUGUACACACCGCCCGU
rnacentral:rRNA from 1 species